rnacentral:rRNA from 1 species
GAGUUUGAUCCUGGCUCAGAAUCAACGCUGGCGGCGUGCCUAACACAUGCAAGUCGCACGAGAAAGGGAUUUCGGUCCUGAGUAAAGUGGCGCACGGGUGAGUAACACGUGAAUUAUCUACCUCCGAGUGGGGAAUAACUGAGAGAAAUCUUAGCUAAUACCGCAUAACACUUACGAGUCAAAGCAGCAAUGCGCUUGGAGAGGAGUUCGCGGCCGAUUAGUUAGUUGGCGGGGUAAUGGCCCACCAAGACGAUGAUCGGUAUCCGGCCUGAGAGGGCGCACGGACACACUGGAACUGAAACACGGUCCAGACUCCUACGGGAGGCAGCAGUGGGGAAUUUUGCGCAAUGGGGGAAACCCUGACGCAGCAACGCCGCGUGGAGGAUGAAAUAUCUUGGUAUGUAAACUCCUUUCGAUGGGGAAGAUUAUGACGGUACCCAUAGAAGAAGCCCCGGCUGACUUCGUGCCAGCAGCCGCGGUAAUACGAGGGGGGCAAGCGUUGUUCGGAUUUAUUGGGCGUAAAGGGUGCGUAGGCGGUUUGGCAAGUCUUGUGUGAAAUCUUCGGGCUCAACCCGAAGCCUGCACAAGAAACUGCCGGGCUUGAGUAUGGGAGAGGUGAGUGGAAUUUCCGGUGUAGCGGUGAAAUGCGUAGAUAUCGGAAGGAACACCUGUGGCGAAAGCGGCUCACUGGACCAUAACUGACGCUGAGGCACGAAAGCUAGGGGAGCAAACAGGAUUAGAUACCCUGGUAGUCCUAGCCCUAAACGAUGAUUGCUUGAUGUGGCAGGUACCCAAUCCUGCCGUGUCGAAGCUAACGCGAUAAGCAAUCCGCC